AGUGAACGCUGGCGGUAGGCCUAACGCAUGCAAGUCGAACGGCAGCACAGAGGAGCUUGCUCCUUGGGUGGCGAGUGGCGGACGGGUGAGGAAUACAUCGGAAUCUACUCUGUCGUGGGGGAUAACGUAGGGAAACUUACGCUAAUACCGCAUACGACCUACGGGUGAAAGCAGGGGACCUUCGGGCCUUGCGCGAUUGAAUGAGCCGAUGUCGGAUUAGCUAGUUGGCGGGGUAAAGGCCCACCAAGGCGACGACCCGUAGCUGGUCUGAGAGGAUGAUCAGCCACACUGGAACUGAGACACUGUCCAUACUCCUACGGGAGUCAGCAGUGGGGAAUAUUGGACAAUGGGCGCAAGCCUGAUCCAGCCAUACCGCGUGGGUGAAGAAGGCCUUCGGGUUGUAAAGCCCUUUUGUUGGGAAAGAAAUCCAGCUGGCUAAUACCCGGUUGGGAUGACGGUACCCAAAGAAUAAGCACCGGCUAACUUCGUGCCAGCCGCCGCGGUAA
rnacentral:rRNA from 1 species